rnacentral:rRNA from 1 species
CACGUAGGGCGCGAGCGUUGUCCGGAAUUAUUGGGCGUAAAGAGCUCGUAGGCGGCCUGUUGCGUCCGCUGUGAAAAGCCCGGGGCUUAACCCCGGGUCUGCAGUGGAUACGGGCAGGCUAGAGGUAGGUAGGGGAGAAUGGAAUUCCAGGUGUAGCGGUGAAAUGCGUAGAUAUCUGGAGGAACACCGGUGGCGAAGGCGGCAUCCUGGACCGGUAUUGACGCUGAGGCGCGAAAGCCAGGGGAGCAAACGGG